rnacentral:rRNA from 1 species
UGGGGAAUAUUGCACAAUGGAGGAAACUCUGAUGCAGCGACGCCGCGUGAGUGAAGAAGUAUUUCGGUUAUGUAAAGCUCUAUCAGCAGGGAAGUAAAAUGACGGUACCUGACUAAGAAGCACCGGCUAAAUACGUGCC